AAUUUAAUAAAAGCGCCUGUACAAGUGAUGAAAUGCAUUGUUGACUACUUAAAAUUUAUAACAGAAAUUUUAACAGACGAUAAAUUGAAGCUUGUAGACGAGGAGGAUAGUUAUCGAUUAUUCGGCGGAUGCUAUCCCGGAUGUGGCCCAUCCGAUAUCUUAUUAAGUAAAACAUUAGGGUAACCUAGUGCACAAAGUUAAUAAGUUAGCCUUCG
rfam:Staphylococcus saprophyticus strain CNV2 Spades_7, whole genome shotgun sequence.